GACGUAGGAGGCGAGCGUUGUCCGGAGUUACUGGGCGUAAAGCGCGCGCAGGCGGCCCUGUGCGCUGCCGGUGAAAGCUCCCGGCUUACCUGGGAGAGGUUCGGCAGGACGGCAGGGCUGGAGGGUGGGAGAGGUCGGUGGAAUUCCCGGUGUAGUGGUGAAAUGCGUAGAGAUCGGGAGGAACACCCGUAGCGAAGGCGGCCGACUGGACCACACCUGACGCUGAGGCGCGAAGGCCAGGGGAGCGAACCGG
rnacentral:rRNA from 1 species